AUCCCUUUCGCUGUAUGGCGUGCUCGUUUGGGUUGGGCGUCGGCUAAGAGUGCUCGGAGCUUGGAUUAACUCCAGUCGCCAAUCAGGUGUGUAUUUCUCGCUACUCUAGUUGUAGGAUGUCUACUUCGGGCCGCAAUGGGCCGAAAGGGGUCAUGUGGGCCCAAUCGGCCUAUGGGCCCAAUUGGAUAAGUUGUUUGAUUGUGUAGUAAAUAUUAGACUAGGCUAGGUGAAUCUCAUAUCUGUGGCUAGAUUCGGGCUAAAAGGGCCACACGAGCGUGAGGGCCCAUUUGGGCCGAGAAUGGGCCUAAAUGGGCCGAGAAUAGGCUUUAGGCCCAUUCGUAUUGUUAUCCCUGUUUAGAAUACUUUAGUUUACCAAAUUACUGAAAUGCCCAUAAAUUGUAAAAUUACCAAAGUACCCUCGAUUUAUAGAAUUACCGUUUUACCCUCGAUUUAUAGAAUUACCGUUUUACCCUCGAUUUAUAAAAUUACUGUUUUACCCUUAUUUACAGAAUUACUGUUUUACCCUCGAUUUACAAAAUUACUAAAAUACCCUUGGUUUACAAAAUUACCAAAAUACCCUCGAUCAGUAAAAUUACCAAAAUACCCUAGUCUGUAAAAUGCUAAAAUACCACUGGUUUGUAAAAUUACCAAAAUACCACUGGUUUGUAAAAUUACCAAAAUACCAUUGGAUUAUGAAAUUAUCGAAAUACCCUCAAUUUGUAAAAGUACCAAAAUACCCCUGAUUUACAAAGUUACAGAAAUACCCUUGACUUUCUAAAAAUUAUGGAAAUACCAUUGGUUUACAAAAUUACUGAAAUACCCUUGGUUUGUAGAUUUACCAAAACACCCUUGUAGGAUGAAAUGACUAAAAUACCCCUAUUAGGUAAAAAGACCGUAAAGCCCUUGUAGGGUAAAGUGACCGUAAAGCCCCUGUAGGGUAAAGUGACCGUAAUACCCCUGUAUGGUAAAAUGACGAAUAUUCCCUUAUGUUCCCUAUGACUGAUGUGCUUAGGAUUUACAUAUAUUGAUAUUGGAUUAGUUAAGUUUGAGUGACAGGUGGUGGUUAUCGUAGGCGAUUGAUUUUGGAAACGUUUCAACUUCAACCCGUAACAGGUGUGUACUAACCCUCGUAAUAGCUUAGAUUAAUAUUUGCUGAGAAGCCGAAAUGCUAAAAUACCGGUAUUUUGGGAACUUGUAAUGUUGCGUUUGGGUAUAGAUGCAAUAAAUACGAUAAGAUCGGUGUUUGGAUCGAUGGAACAGGUAAGAACUCAAUUUUGUGCACGAUGGUAAGUUGGGCCUCAAUGGGCUGAAAUUGGGCCCAAUGGGCUUUCGGACCCAUUUGGGUAGAAUGGAAUUUGGAAAAGUUGCACGUUAACACGGUUAGUAUUGUUGUAAAAUUUGGGUUAAGUAGGCUAAAUCAGCAUUCGUAGGGCCCAUUAGGGGUUUUGGGCCCAAAAGCCCGAAUUUGAUAAAGUGGGUUAAAGAUCAUUAUUUAAACACUCGAAAAUAUUGAUAAUUGUAAUGAAGAUGGAAAACCCUGAUAUUUGGUAAAAUUACGAAAAUACCCUUAUAAUGUGAAAAAUGUCUGUUUUGCCCUUGUGGGCAAGUGACUGACUUGGACUGUGUGGUUGACGGAUUUGAUUGUGAAUAUAUGUUGGUGAUAUGAAUGACUUGACUGUGAUUGUUUAAUUCAAAUAUGGGCAUGACAUUCUGCAUACAUGACAUGUUGCAUUGGGUUGGGUUUUUAUAUGGAUGGAGGAAGUGCAAAAGGGCUUAUGCCCCAUUUUAUUGAAAAGGGCUUAUGCCCCAGUUUACCGAAAAUGGCUUAUGCCCCAGUUUAUUGAAAAAGGCUUUGCCUCAGUUUAUCGAAAAGGGCUUUGCCCCAGUUAUUAAAGAGGCUAGGCCUCCAGAUAUAUGAUAAAGCAGCUAUGCUGCCAGUGAUGUGUUGGUUGGGUGGGUUGAGUUAUUCCCCACAUGGUGUGUUGGUUGGUACAGGUGGAGAGUAGCGGAUGGUGGGUUGAGUAGUCUCCCCAAAUGGGCUUGCAUACAUUCAUUGGUAUUUCAUGUGGUAUUGAAAUGGGCUUGCAUACAUCCAUUGACAUUACAUGUGAUAUUGAAAUGGGCCUAAGGGCCAUACCAUUUACAGUAAAGGCUUUGGCCCAAUGAUAUGAUUUAUGAAAAGGCUUCGGCCCAGUGAUAUGAUUUAUGAAAAGGCUUCAGCCCAGUAACCGUUAAACGAAAGGCUUCGGCCCAGUAUAUGUCAAGACUAAAUAGGGCUUUGGCCCAGAUUGUACUGAUACUGUGUUUUCACUGUUUGUUUGUUAUUGGGAUUACACACUGAGUUUUCGUAAACUCACCCCAUUUCUAACUGUGUAGGGAAUCCCUAAGCUUAGAUGGUUUGGAGCUGCGAGGGACUCGGAGAUGGCCACACUACUAUUUCUGUUUCUUUUAAUUGCAAUAAGUAGCCGAUUUAUUUCUUUAUAAGUUUUAUCUUAUUAAUAUUAUUGUUUGGUUUUGGGUUGUAAUAAGGCCAUUUUAAUUAUUUUUCUGGGAUUAUUUUAUUUUUAAUAACUUUAAUCUGUUUGUUAAUAAAUGGGCUAGACUUAGGACGUGUUUUCAAAAUGAUAAUUGUUUUCAAAAUAACACCACGCCACGAUUAUCCGAUUUAUCAAAGAUUUCAACUUAAAUAAAUUACAACUCGAUUUAACCAAGUGUGGCAAUGGUUGUGGGCAUGUCUAGGAUUGGAUCCAUUAGAAGAGCUUGGUACUUAAGCAGCCUUCAUGGCUCACCUCCUCUGUUACGGAUUCCUACCUGGUGCCCAGCUCUCAUUCACUUUGUUAGCUUAACAAAAUUCAGUUUUUAAAGCACUAAAAUGAAACAUGGGUUUUUAACUUCAAUGUGGCACAUCAGAUUCGGCCAUAACGUCUGGGCUGGGUUUGGGGUGUUACAACUUAUAUCUUGCAUGAUUCAGUUAUUAAACUGAUUUAUUUGUUAAGUGAUUAUUUAUUUGAAAUUGGUUGUUUAUUCAAGAGUACUUAGUAUAUUAGGGAGUGACACCCUUGAUAGAAUAUCUAGAUAGGUGAGACUGGAAGGGUAUCCUUUCGUGUAUAACUUGUGCCAAAUGAAGACUGGAAGGGUAUCCGUAAUCCUAGGAAGAGACCAGAAAAGUGCCUUAGGUGGUAAUCCUUAGUGAAGAUGAGAUCGGAAGGAUAUUCUUAGCUAAGGGUUAUAAAUAACUCAAUCUAGGACAAUUAAUUAUUUAAUUAGAAAUUAGGGAUUUAAUCAAUCAUAGGCUAGAGGCUCGUAUUAUUGACACUAGGAAUAGGAAAUUCCAUUGGUAUAGUUAGGUUAAUUAAUAUAAUUAGUUUAAUUAAUAUUUUAAUUUGGAUUUAACACUACUAAUUUGUGACUUGAUUAGAUUAUUAGUUCUUUUCUAUAAUUAAUUUAAUUAUAGUUUCUCCAAUUUGCAAUCCAAAUUGCAUGGCAUGACACGAUAGGUGUUCCACACUUUCUUGGUUCGUUUCAUGCAUUGAUAACUCGGGAAGCUUGCACAUCACUUGUCCUUUGCUCCUACAUCAAUUGGGCCUAUAAUUCAUCAUCCUACACACUCAAUUACACACAUUAGCACUAUUUAAGGCCCAUGUCAGCCUAAUAGGUCACAACAUUUGCAAAUUGUGUUAAAAAACACUUAAUUUACUAAUAUUUAAUCCUAAGUACUAAAUGCCAAAAACAUAAUAUAUAAUACUAAAUUGCCUAGAAAAUAGACUCCUUAAGUGCAAAAAUAACCCAAAAUAACUACUACAUUUUACGGUAGCUCAGUACAGUCCUCGGAAUACUUACCGCUGUUCCAUUGUAACACUUCUAUAUUAGAAUUUGACAUGUACGCUUGCAGAUACCGCACUUAGAUAUUUAUAUUUUUAUUUGCAUGAUUUUUACUCUGAACUUUUCUCACAUUUAGAGGCAGUCAAUUGACGAUUGGAGAAAAUCACUAUUAAAAUAAUUACAGAAAAUAAAUACUAAUUUAGUCGAGUUACAAAUUACUAGUGUAAAUCCAAAACAAUAAUAAAAUUUAUUGAGUACUUUAACCUAAACUAAAACUAAUCCUAAGUUAAUUAUUGAUUUGUCUUAUUCCUAAGUUAAUUAAGAAUACCUUCUAGUCUCAUCUUCACUAAGGAUCACCACCUAAGAUACCUUUUUGGUCUCACCUAGGCAUAGAGAUACCCCUCAAGUCUCACCGCUCAGUAUGAGUUCUACUCAAUAGGAUACCCUCUCGAUCUCACCCGUCUUAAUCUUCUACUAGGGGCGUCACUUCUUAGGAUACUAAGUACUCUCGAGCAAACACUAAAUUUUGGGGUGUUGUUUGAUUAAUGAAACAACCAACUAAUAUGGGAUAAAUGCCAAGCAUAAAAUAGAUUUAAGAAAUAAAAUUAACAAAUGGGACAUAAAUAAUAUAAUAAGGGAAAGAGAUGCUCUGGAUUAGAAGAUAAAAGUAUGGUUCCAAAACAAUCUCUGCUCGCUAUAAUCUAGCGUCAGAAUAGGAUCCCCCAAUUAAGCGAACAUAAAAAUAAAACUAAAGAAAAACUAAAAACUAAAUCUAAAAUAUGAAAAAAAACUAUUCCCAUAGCUCAGCCUAAGCCUUGCUAUUUAUAGGCAUAUUAGCUGCCCUAAUUAGGUAAAAUACAAGCCUUAAAACUGAUAAAUAUGGAUUAUGUGGAUGAAAACACUUCGUUGUUGUUCUUCAUGCUUCUAGGCUUGAAAAUAAGUGUCCUAUGAAUUCAAUUAAACUCAUUAAAACUACCUUAGGCCUGUAUUGGCCUAUUAGAUCAACUAAAGUUCAAUUAUGAAUAAAAACACUUAUUUUACUCGAAUUUAAAUCUGUUACUAAAAUUGAAAAUACAUUAAAAUAGCAUAAAAUGGCCUAAAAACAAGUUCAUUAAGUGCCAUAAAGAGUUUAAUUUUCCAUAACGAAUUGUGGCAGGUCAAAUUCCCCCACACUUAACUUGUUGCUUGUCCUCAAUAAAACAAAACAAGUAUAAACUAAAAAGAAAAAUAAAACAAACAAAACAACAGUGUACUUGAGCAUGUUUCAUACAUGAGAUUGGUUUUGGAACAUUAGAGAUAGGAGAAUAUGCUAAACAAGUAAUUCUAGCUAGAUGUUUGAAUUUCACUUCAAACAUGCUAGUUUAAUAAGUUUCAAAGUAAACAAGUUAAAGAAAGCUAAAAAUAUAAUUACAUCUAAUCAUAUACACGAGUUUAACUAUAAAAUUUAAAGUAUAUAAGGUUUUUCUAGUAAUUUUUACUCCAUUUUUACUGAAAAACAAUACUAAUUCCGAGUAUUUGUUAAUUAUUUAAGUGAAAUUUUCUUAUAUUCUGACAAUGGACAUGAAUUUAUAGAAUAUUUAAAUUUGUGCUUUAUUAUGUCAAUUUUGUGCAUAAAUUAAAUUAUUUCAUGUUAUUUAUUAAUGUGCUAUAUUUAAUUAAUGUAGUGGGACCAUAAAGUUGAUUUAAUAAAGAGCUUAUUAUAAUUUUUGCAUGAACAUGAGUAAUUCUAUCCUACUUGGAUGGAAAAACCAUGCAAAUUGGGUCAUGAAGAUGUUACUUUGACCCAGUGAAAAAUGGUGCCACAUGGUGGACAAGUUUGACUAUUAAAUGGGUCAAAAAACUGUCCAAACAAGGAGAAGAUAAGCCCAAUUUAGCAAGGAUAUUUGGGCAGCCAAAAAUAAGCUCUUGGAAUAAUAACUUGGAGGUCCCUACACUUGGAAAAUCAUUGAAAAUCAACACAUUAUGUUUGUUAAAGAAAUCAUCCACCCCUUGCAUGAUUCAAGCAUGAUUUUAUGCUUGAUUCAAGCAACCAGCUCACCCUCCUUUCCACAUAUUAUGGUUGGCCAAAGCUGGGAGAAAUCUAAGUGAUCUUUGAUGUCGUAUUUAGUAAACUCCUCUACCAACCUUAAGUAUAAAUACCCACUCCCAUAUCACAUUUCAAUGAUCCCUCAUUUAACAUUUUUCUUCCAUUCUCUCAUUCACUCUCUUUAUUCCCAGGCAUAACAUCCCAUAUUUACUUUCUUCCUUAGCUAGCAAAACCUUGAUAAGAUCAUCUCUUGGUUGGCCACCUUGAGGAGCCGUUAGCAAAGGAGCAACACGAGGAUGGGAGGAAACUUCUUCAAUCGAAGUUGGCAAGGCUUCUGAUUCGAAAAGAAUUUAUUCUUCCUUUACUUGUUACUUUGAUUUUUGUAACAUCCCAAUUUAGGGCCUAGUCAAAACAAUGAUUUUGAGACCACAUACCCGAAAUAGAAAUAAUUAUUUCUUUAAUAUUAUGAGGUCUAGGAUGAGAAUCUAUGCUUGAGCAAAAAUUUCAUAGAGAAAUUCUAUGCCUAAGAUGAUUAAUUUGACAUUAGGGACCAAAUUGCAAGAUAUGUAAAACUUGAGUUCUAAAACCUUUUAGCAUGAAAUUGAGUUGGAUUAUAAAUUAGAGGUCCUCAAAUAGUAAUUUGACCAAGUUCUAAAAAUUUGGACAAAAAUAGGCAGGCAUGGGUAAAAUUUUAAAGAAAUGCCUUAAGGGCAUUUUGGUCAUUUGGUUAAUUAAAAAAUAAAAAGGGAAAAAUCAGACAAAAAUGUUGUCCAUCUUCUUCAUGGAGUGCCCAAAAUUCAAGGGGCUCCAUAGCUAGGGUUUUCAACAUUUCAAGCUUGAUUUUAAGUGCUCCCUAGCCCUCUUUUGAUGUUCUUUAUAUUUUUGAGAUCCUUAAAGCAUGUUUUAGCCAUUUCUACCCUUAUUUUAAGCUAGGGUUCAUGUUCAAAAAAUUACCCAUGUGUGACAUGUUUGUAUUUUGGAGUUUAAUGAAGGAAUAUGAAGGAUUGAUGUAUGACAAACAUCUUUUGUCAAGUGGUGUUCCAUGAAAAUACCUAAAAAGGAUCAAGUUGCAAAAGAUGUAAUAGUGGGUAGUAGAAAAGUGAAAUAAAGGAAAUUGUCGAUUUUUAUAAGCUAUAAUAUAAUUUGGCUAGGCUUGGAAAAUCAAGGGAAUGCAUGUAUGUCAUUAUCGAGCCUAGGGACUAAAAUGUAAAAAUGUAUAAAGUUAGGGGUAAAUAGGUAAUUUUUCCAAAGAGUGAUUCUGAGUUGAAAUUGAAGAAUGUGAUGAAUUAAUAAUUUAAAUUGUUUAUAUAGACUUGGAAAGACCAAUUCUGGAAGUAGAGCAUGGAAAAUAAAAGUUUUUGGAAUAGUUAAAAUAUAAACCCGAGACAUCAUCCAGGUAAGUUCGUGUAACCUAAUUUGGAUGUUUCAUGUUGACUUUAAUUGUAGUGUUGAUUUGAAUUUGAAAUGUAUAAAUAAUGAAUUGUAUGAAAAUGCCUAUAAUUAUGAAAUUAAUUGAAAAAUGGGUUAGAAUCCGUUUGAAUAUGGAAUUCCGAUGGAUAGGUCACUUCUCAUGAGAAAUGGGAUCCUGCAUGUGUUGCAGAAAGGAUUUAGCAUCCAUUGAUCCCAUUAUGGAAAGGAUUUAGCCAGAUGGGUAAUCCUGAAAUGAGCCUAUUAAGCUUAUGUUUCAAUUAGGAUUUAGCCUGAACUGGUAAUCUAGAUUAGACUCUGUAGGGUAUUCUUUGUCAUGUAAAGGAUUCAGCAUGGACUUGUAAUCCGACGAAGCCCUUAGAGUACAUGGAACAACCAAAAUUUAGACUGGAUUGGUAAUUCUACUAUAAGAGAUGUGGCUCGAGAGUGUACCGUAUAGGGUACUAUUGGAUAUGAAUUGAAGGUUAAUAAAAUAGUACACAUAAAGCGUACUAAGUGAUGAAAUAUCCAUCGAAAAUUCAAGGAUUCGCUGGAUAAAAUAUUUGUAAAUAACAUGAGAAAUACGAAUUUGAAUAUGUAUAUGAUGUGAUGGGCUCAUCUAUGGAUCUUGAAAAUUUAUGUGACUAACUUGUUCAUUGAGUGCAUGUGUUUAGGAAAUUAUUUAUAAUUGACGGGUAACAUGGCUUAUUGUGAUUAUCUGUUAAUUGACCGGUAAGUUUACUUUCCGUUACACGAACUUACUAAGCAUGUGAUGCUUACCCUCUUUUUACAUUUCCCUGUCUUAUAAAGCUCUUGGACUCGUGAAGGUUGGACGAUGGUGGGAGUUUAAUCGCACUAUCAGCAAUCUCAUUUAGGGUAUAAAAGAACUAUUUAUUUUGAUAUAAUGGCAUGUAUAGGAUAACUUAUCUUUUGGUUAUAUGUAUCGUUUUAAUUCGCCAAGUGUAAUGGCUCUUGAUGGUUGAUGAAUUAUUUUGUAUAUGGUCAUGAGAUAUGGCUCAUAUUUUACUAUUGGGUUGUAACCCUUAUUAAUCA
rnacentral:lncRNA from 1 species